UCCCUGGAAACCUUUAUAGGAGCCGGUCUGCACUAGUUUUGGAGGUGUCCGCAGGUAAGGCGAUUGAUUCAGCCACAAGACUCAGAGAUCCCUGAAGCAAGCAAGAGAAAGACCUCAUGCAGAGAGAGGGCAGGCUGCUUUGAAACAAAGGAGCUUGGAUGAUAAUCUGAAAGCCAAGUUUCUUCAACACCUGCUGUCACCUCUGGAACCAGCCCACACAGGAGGACAAACGAGAGGAUUAGGCAGCAUCUAGACCUGGUGAUUUCCAUUGUUCUUCUCUGGUGCCGACUGUGGAUGACGUUGAGCGUGGGCUGCCGAUCCAGGGCCGGCUGGUGACCUGAAGAUCCAGGGCCGGCUGGUGACCUGAAGUGGCUGUGCGUUAUUAGAGCCCUGGGAACUUUGCAGCUGGCUCCAGGGGAGCUUUCACCUUCUGUGAUAAAUGGCUCAAAGUGGCAGGGCUCUGGAACACAUCCAACCAGAAGAGAGUCGGGUCCACUCAUUUAAAUAAUAAAAUCUCCGUAGGUACU